UCUCCAGAGAAGGAGACUCCACCACCUCCCUGGGCAGCCUGUUCCAGUGCUCCGUCACCCUCACCGUAAAGAAGUUCUUGUACACAUUUGUGCGGAACUUCCUAUGCUCCAGUUUCUGGCCAUUUCCCCUUGUCCUGUCUCCACACACUUCUGAGAAGAUUCUGGCCUCGCCACUCUGCCUCCCACAUCUUAGAUAUUUAUAAACCUGGAUCAGGUCCCCUCUCAGUCUUCUUUUCUCAAGGCUGAACAGACCCAGUUCACUCAGCCUUUCCUCAUAGGAGAGAUGCUCCAGGCCCUUCACCAUCUUCGUGGCCCUCCGCUGGACUCUUUCCAAGAGAUCCCUGUCUUUUUUGUACUGGGGAGCCCAGAACUGGACGCAGUACUCCAGAUGACGCCUUACCAGGGCAGAGAAGAGGAUCACCUCCCUCUACCUGCUGGCCACGCUCUUUUUAAUGCACCCCAGAAUGCCAUUGGCCUUUUUGGCCACAAGGGCACACUGCUGGCUCAUGGCCAGCCUGCCGUCCACCAGGACGCCCAGGUCCCUCUCUGCAGAGCUCCUCUCCAGCCUGUACCCCCAACCUGUACCAUUGCAUACAAUUAUUCCUCCCUAGAUGCAAGAUUCCACACUUGCUUUUGUUAAACCUCAUUUGGUUUAACAGAGGACUGUUGCUUUCUAUGUGGACAGUCAAGGCUUUCUAUGGUACUUUUAGAAUAUCACAGUAGAAAAAAGUUCACUGGUCUCAGCCACUACAAGCAAUCCAAGAUUAGUGAGUACAAAAAACCCAAACCAAAUCAAAACAAACAAACAAAAAAACAAACAACAAAAACAUCCACCUAACAGAUUUUACAACAACAACUAUAUAUAGCUUUGCAGGAGGUAAGGCUAAAUCAGCCUGCUACAUGAAGGCAUAUAGUCAUCAGCAAUGAGAACUAGGAAGAAAUGCUUCAUGUGUAGCAAUACCUAAUUGGGUAAGAGCAGCACGUUUUUGUCUGAAAUUCCAUUUUAUCACCAUGUGCUACUUGUUACUACCCAGGCUGAAUACUAGAUGGAAUUGACUGCUGCUUCACUCCAGCAGUCCAAAUCUAUGUUCUAAAAUGAUAACUAUUUUUAGGAAUGCAAAUUAAUACAGAGACCCAGUGAAUAAAAUUCAGACUUCUUGUCUUUACCUCAGGAAACCUCAACUUUUUAUAUCUGCAAAGAAAUUAUCUUAUUUUCUGUCUUCUAUGUCAAGACUUGACUUUGUCACCUUCUACUUACAUAGCACAAUUUUGUUGUUUCUUGAACAACAAUCACAGCACAAUGAGAAUUGCAUAUUACAGUGUGAUUUCAUGAGUGGAGUCUGUUUGCCUAUUAGUGAAUUGCAAAUUAAAAGAAGUGGUUCUUAGCCCAGAUGCCAAAUGUCCUUCAUACAUGCAGCUCUGUUCUGGUGCUUCUACAGCAGACUGGCUACUACAUUCAUUCUUUGUAACAAUUGACCCUGGGUCUCCUUAUGUCCUACAGAGAACUUAUUGGGUUUUAAGACAUAAUGAUUAUCCUUUCUGUGUUUUGUUUGGUUUUUUUUUCCUUUUUUUUUGAGUUCAAAUUCAUAGAAAUAAUGACAGGAUUGCUUUGCAGCCCAUCGAGCUGGUGUUUUUCUGUCUGCAGACUGAGGACACACAUUGAAUGCUGUGGCUUGAGGCUAGAGGCCAUGUGGGUUCAUUGCAGGGAAAAAAUGCAUAUCAGAGGACUAUGUAAGGCAGGGGGAGCCAACUCUAGAAUAUCCAUUAAAACCUUGAAGAGUAGUGUUUUGAGUGUCUUGUCACUCAAACUGCACUGGGAAAUCACAUCCAAGAAAGCUAGCUGCAGUUAUCCUCACCAAAGCAAGGUAACACUUAAGCAGUGUAGACACUUGUAUGUGUGGCACUCAGCUGUUUUUUUUUCCAUUUAUCAAUAUAUCUCUCACAGACCCUGGUGUGAAGGUCACCAAAAGCUAAAAGCAAGGGCUUACAGCAGGAAGCUCUUCAGGCUUACAGUCACAAUGAAACUAGCAGAGAAAAAACUCUGUAAUAUGUGCUUCCCUUUCAGGUAUACCUCUGUCUGGCGGGCCAAGUUCCAGUCAAUGCCAAACUGCUUCUGUGACAGUUUUGGACUGGCAUUCAAAAAUUAAACUGAGAGUAGUUUUUGCUACUUCUGCAGUUACCUUCCUCUUUUUCUUCCCUGCCUACCUGGUCUUUACCUCAGUUUCUUUUCAUCAGUAGAGAGGGAAUCAAAUGUUAGCUCAGUUAGAUAGAUGUACAAAAGUCCUUGCAGCCUGACAGUAAAGCAUCCAUCCCAGCUAAUGUACAGCUGAGGAAGAUGUGCUGUUCUCUCCUUGGUGAUUUCUGAUUUGUUUUCUGUUAUUUAUUCUGAAGACUUUUCAAACAAGUCUGGGGACCAGACACGUGAAGAGCAGAGCGUGGCACAUCAAGUUUCCUUUGUCUCUGAUCCUGCCUCAGAGAUCCAACACAGCCAUACACUCAUACUGAUUUAUGAGUAUAUCAACAGCAAAUAUUCACACAACCCCUUUGGACCUCCUCCACUUCCCCAGUCAUCCCCACAGAGACAUUGGGUAUAUUAAUUCCAGCUGGGCAGACAAGUUCAGAGCCCUUCUGGAAGAAAAGUGGUGAAACAGAAGGAAGAGAGACGCUUUUUUGGCGCUGCUUUUUUUUUUUUUUUGCUACAGGAAAUGAAGAGACAGCAGUCCAGACAGCAGAGAUGACAGGUCAUGGAGCGGGCGCUUCCUAUGAGACAGGAAGCCAUGCUGGCCCUCACAUGGAGCUCUGGCUGUCUGCAGGCCUCCGUUCCCCUCUUUGCACUUGGACUGUUGAUCUUUACACCAUGACGGCUCCAAAGAUAUGCUGCAACCAGCCAGGCAACCUGCAGUGGGAGAGACUGGUUAGACAGCUCAGCCUCUAAUGUUGGGUUCUGCCAUCCAGCAGCAGGCCCAGCAGGGUUAUGAAGAGGCUGGUGGUGCCAGCUAGAGGACCUGGAGUAUUGGGUAGCAGAGAUGCACAGCUGAAUUGUUGUGGGUUGUGAAUGAUGGACAAGGAAAGAAGAAUAGCAGACAGACAGACAAAAUACUUAAAAUGUCUCUUUAUUUUUACUCUUUCGUGCCUUAAAGGCCUAGGAAUAUUAUAAAUGUGAUUUAUUAAGGUGUAUAUGAGGAGAAUGUAAUGAAAUCAAUUUUGAAAGAAAUUACAACUCUGUCUUCCAGCAUUAUAUGUUUGCAAUAUAAAAUUUUGAAUUGCUCUUAUUGUAGCUGCUGUUUAUAUUUCACAAGUGUUCAAGCUCUAUGUGUGAACUGAGUGGUCAGCCAUGUCCAAGCACAAUGAGCUUAAGACUCCUCUGAGUAUUCAUGACUUAUGGUCUAAGGACUGCGUGUGUGAGACCACAUUAAUAGAUUAGAGGGGAAAUUCUGGGCUCCUGGAAAUAAAUGUUUACAAGAAUAAACAUAUACAUAUAUGUUUGUACCCAGGUUUUCAGUUCCUACAGGUUUAGUUGAAAGUACCAGAGGGUCAGCCCUGACUCCAAAUUAGCUAAUCCAGCACUGAAACAGACAGCCUUUCCUGCUCUGUGUUGGCCAGCAAAGGCCCUUUGACACCUUUGCAUUGCCCCAGAACGGUUCUAACUUUUGAGACUUCUACAGUAGGCAGGACAUUGUAUCUACCAGCCCUUUAGAGCCUGAUCUACUGUUGGUACAAUCACCAGCGAGGGGUCUCUGUCAGGGCUUUUAUUCUCAUGAAUGUGCAAGAUGGCAAUUUGGCCUCCUAUACCACAAUUGAUUUUGAUUUCAGUGAUGCUAUCAUCUGCACUAUCAUGAUUAAUGCUAUCAGUGUAAGUAUAUUAACUAAUGUCAUUAAUAUUCAGAGUUAAUUUUCUUCAGCCCAAUUAUUCAUCUUUCUUGAACUCAGGGACAAGAUGUGACAUACUGUUUUCAGGUUUAAGUUUUUAAAUGAUCUCCCAAGACAAAACAUGCUAACAUCUUAAAUAACUGAAAGUGUGAAGAUAAAACAAACAAGCAGAUAUAGGAACAUAAAAAGCAAGCUAUGUAAAUAUCCCGACUUAUUUUGUCUUUCUGAAAAAUAGAGUGUAAUAUAGCAAAGAGUAGAGACCAGUGAAGAUCAGAAGCCUUUAGGUUUUCAAAUUGUUCCAAAAGUUAAGUUGUGGUGGAGCAGAUAGAAGUCUGCUUUGCAUUUGUGGUUUGUGCUGGAAAGUAUGUAACUGUCAGUAAGAGGAAAUGUGACUUAGUGAAAUGCUGAGAUACUUAUACACUGUUAAGAACCAGCUACCAAAUGGAACAGACGUUGUUUUCAGGAUUAUGGGAAGAAGAUUAAAACAGCGUAAGAGUUAUGCGGUGAAAUUACUGGAAACUGGUUAACUACAGAAGUUGUGGAAGGUGAUUUUAUAUUUCAUUUACUAAACUGUGUGCUUUCAAAUGGAUGAAUGCUCUUUUAAAGUACCUUGCCUUUAUUUCAUUUAAGCUGAGAGCACUGUAACUGGUUUUCUUAUAUUUCAUUUAAGUUCAACCAUUCUGGACUACUACAUUACACAGUGAACAUACAUAGAGAUUGCUUAAAAUAUUUUUAAAAUCAAUAUAAAUUUGUUUCAAGAUUGAAUUGGUUCACUGAAAAAAUAAAAUAAAGCAGAGAAUAGAGUUUUAGGAAUUAUUAAGGAAUGGUUCCUGCUAAAAAGGUUACAUUUUUAAGAUAUUAACAAGAUUUCAUAUUGUAAAGAAUUCUAGUAAUUUCUUACUUAUCAGAAUUUUUUUAAGAUCUUUGUUCCUUACUUAAGCAAAGCAAAACAAAACGAAACACUACACUAAGCUCUUGUAUUUGGAAAAGACCACGGAAGUACACAACCCUGAUUCCAUUUUGCACAUAAGCACUCUGUUACCAUAGCAGUUUUGCCUUUUGUAGUGUUGUGAAAUAGCCAGGGAAGUCCAAGUGAAUUAUUUCAUCUUCUACAGAACAGGAAAACAUACUGGAAAAAUUCCUGUGACAAAUGCAAGCUGUUGUCUGCUGUCCAGUCCCUGCUCUUACUGUUGCACAUAGCAGGAGGGUUACCAGUGGAAAAUUAAAGCUUUGUAAGUCUGACUCUACCUUAAAAUGAUUGUGCUGGGUAGAUCGUGCUACUCUGCCUAUUUUCUUUUGUAACCAUGUGUGCCAGAGCCAAGUAUGUUUAAAGUGAUCCCCUGAGUUCACAAGUGCUUUGUGUUGCUGGACUGCCACAGAAUUGUAGGAGUAGAUGGAUGAAUUUGAUUCCAGUCUGCUGGAUUCAAAGGAAAGUUGGACAGAGUCCAUCCACAUGAUGCUUGCAUUUUAAGUGGAGUAUCUGCUUCAAUAAGCAAUGUUUGCUGCAUAGGUUGAGUUUCAGCUCAGGUGUCCCAGCUGAAGCGUGAUCUGAAUUCAGCCCAGUAUGGGAAAAAAGUGCUUGAGCACAGACGCUGGGUUUUAGGUCAAACAAAUAGUUUCUGCAUGAGAUGAGAAUUCUAUAUUUCAUCACGACAGUGACGGUUCUCAUCCAAAGGAAGACUCCAGAUGAAUUCGAUAGCUUUGCAAUAGGCUAAUGAUCAUAAUUUAUGCUUCUCCAAUCUCCCCUUUAUUUCCUUUCAAGUGUUAGAUAUCCAUUUUCCUGUAGAUAGUCACACCUUUCCUACCUGUUAUUUUUUGUUUGCAUUUGACAAAUAUGUUAGAACCCUUCGCAGACAGGAGAAGAGUCAGACAGAGAGAGAGACCAGAGUUGUUAGUCAGCUUUGGGAUGUUUCUCAAGUCCUACUGAGAACAAAAUCCAAUUUGUGUUUGUUGUUCCAUAAUUCUGUCCUAUGGUCAUCAAGUUAAGUAUUUGCUUUGUACUCCUGAACAAAAAAAGCCUUAAGAAUUUCUGCUAAGUACAUUUGUUAGUCACUGUUUGGUGAGUGCUUUGAAUAAAUGCUAGCUUCUAUUUGCUUGUAUUAAGAGAGCAGAACAUUUUAUUUCCAAAGAAGUUAAACAUGUUGACUAAACUGAUGUUUAGGUGUUAGUCUUAAAUUGUUCCAUGGUUGUCUUUCUUACUCCUCCUCACCAGACAGAAUCUCUCACCUUGGACAAACCUAGAAGUUUUCCACAGCCUUUUUAAUCUGUACAUGCACAUUUUCCAGGCCUGACAACUUUCCUUUUGUUACAAAAAUUAAUCAAAGGAAAACCAAAGAGAAUAAGCAGCAUCUUAUUAAAAUAUUGCUGUUAUUGUGCUCUAUAUCAAUCAAUUGUAGGAAGAAUUUAUGAAAAAUUAAACAAAAUGUCAAAAAGUUGGUUCAGAGAAAGCAAACACAUACAAAAUUCAAAAAAAUCUACAUAAUUGUGCAAAUCAAUUAUUUCCUAUAGUUUAAGGAAAUGACCAUUCUGAAAUCAGUUUUUACUUUGUGCUCUUUGAAUGAGCACAUUGACACUAUCUUACAGAGACAUCUGAGAAUACAUUCAGCUUUAUCUAAGGAUAAGGAAGGAUGUCAAAUGAUGAAAUGGGCAGAUUUAAAAUUCAGCAGCAUGUCAUAUUCCCUUUCUUGACUACCCCUGUCACCAUAUUAGGAGCUGGUCACACAACAGAUCCUACAUGUGGAAACAUCUGUUGUGAUCACUUACACUGUCCACAUGCAGAUCCACCUUGUUGGCUCUUUCACUGUGUGUCAGGGUUUGGUUUGUGUCAGUGAAUUUUUUCUUGUUCUGCUCUGUACUUUAAUGCAGUGUUGUUUAAUGCACUAUUCUGCCUGCACUUUCGAGUGGAGAAUUCUGAUUGUGGAGGACCCUGACCAUAGAGGACCAUUCCUCAUACUUCAAAUGAUCUGGGAAUUUUGCCAUAAUUGUUUUCAUUCAUUAUACUUGGUGUUUUGCUGAGAGACUAUUUUGCUAUUUCUAUUUUCCCCAGUUUUUGGAGACUAUAUUUUGCUGAGUAAGUGAGGAAACAGAGGUCUGAGACUCUUCUCAUCCCUUCUUAUUGAUAAUGUUUGAAGUGGUCAAAGUUCAUGAGAUCUGUGGGUAGUCUAUUGUAGAGUGUAGGGAACAUGGGAUGGACAGGAGAGAAAAGCUUUCAGAUUCAGAUAUUUCUUGUUUGCUCCAGGCUAACAGAGUGUUUCCAACAGAGAAAUAGUGAAACUCAGCAUAGGUAAGAUGGAGUGUUUCUUUGAUUCCUCCUAACUGAAGAGAUUUUAAUCAUGUGAUAAGGAGAAAAAGCCUGCAGUUUUCAAGGGGAGAUGCUCCCUAUUUAUGAUGAAAAAAGUGGAACUUGACAAAAUAAAGGCUUUUAUUUCAGUUCCUGAAGCAACUGUUUCUUUGUGGUGGCUGAAGAGUUUGUUGCCAGAAAAAUGUUUUCCUUUAUACAUUUAAGAAAUCUUCCAGCAAAUAGGUAACCCGAUGCUUGAAUAAUAAACAAAUAAAUGAACAGAUUUUCUUCCAUUAAAGCAGAUUUUCUUCCUACUACACUAAAAUUUGAGUAAGAAAAUUACUCCUACAGCUCUUGAAAAAUCUGAAGGAAAUCAAAGUACUUUUCUAACAUAACAAAGUGGUUUUGUAGGGAAGGAGCAAUCCUAAGAGAAGAGUUUUCCUUUUAAGAUGAUUUCCUCAAACACUUGAGAGAAAUUAGCACUUUGAAUACCUUCAGUUCUUUUCUUGUAUCACACAUAUGUACAUUUUGGUUACUUGGAAAUAAAACGGUGACAAUAGGAAGUAAGUGGUAAACAUGUAAAUUAUUUGUGGCUGUUUAAUGGAUAUCACAGUCUCUAAUAAUAUUCUUAUUUAAGUACCACUCAGAGUGAGUGCAUAGAAGUACUCCUUUCAUAGGAAGAGCUGCAGCCAUUCAUCAACAGUUCUUUAAUGAGGAGUGUAUAGUGACAUUUUACACAGUACUGCUCUAUAUUGCUCUCCAGGUUGGAGAAGGGCCUGGUGCAGAGCUCGAGUGCAGCCAGGUCUUACCCAAAGGGGCAGGAGACCCACUGGCUCCAGACUUCUCAGCCCAGCGGAGCCACUGAGCACAACAAAAGCAUAGUAACUCCAGGUUCCACAGUUUCAUGAGAAAGGAGCUCCAUUAAAGCAUGAAGAACAAUAGUUUGAUUAUAACUGCUGUAAAACAAAGAGCUGAGUGAAGUCUUGGAGUGCUGUUGCUCUGGGCAAGUUCUGGAGCAGAGAACAAUUUAACACAGAAGCUUUCAGCCAAAUUUUGACUGGAAGACAGAAAGAUGCCUAAAUACAUUCAGUUACCAGCCACAAAGCUGGUAUAUGAUACAAUUAACAAGAAAAGAUGUAUCCCCAGUCUGACAUUCUGUGUGCUCUGACAGAACUGAAACCUGCAAGGGAGACAUGCAUGGAAAAGCAGAGGUUUGUCAGCGCAAGAAUGACUUUCCCAUAUCAUCUCCUUUAGGGCAAAACUCUUAAGAUCUAAUUUUCUAUGGACUUCUAUAAGUGUGGCCAUGCUGAUAUUAACAUUUUGGCUUGGAGCAGCAGUGUAUUGCUACACAGAUCUCCUGGUUGCUCCUUUCUUGUACUUGGAUUAGGUUUAGAAUGUAUUAAAGUAGGAACAAGGGGAAGCUUUGAUUUAUUGAUCUCUUCCUACUGCACAUAAUUCUUUGCCAAUAUAGAUACAAUCUGUGAGGCCCCAGAAAGGCACUCCUGAACACACUGGUGUUACAUGGAUCUACUCUCCACAGCCACGCAGGACAUGAAUGAAACUUUGCAAAGGUAUGGGUAACUUUGAAAUAACUUCUGUUUGAAAGCAACUGCAACCUGUCAAGCAUGACAAUAUAUUCGUAAUUUUCAUACUCUUUUGCUGUUCCUGUACUUCUGAAUUCUCUGUGACCUUGUAAGCUAUGUCUGCUCUUUUGGAGAUAUACAAACAGGCUAUAGAUGCAUGGCUAGUCUGCUUAGGAGUCUGAUAAACUAGCCUGUGUGAACUGCAUACUAUCUUGACUGCCUUUUGGUUGUUUUGUAGGAUAAAGAACCUUAAUGCAAAGCUCAUUCCAGAGUCUUGUGAUUAGCCCACUGUCUCUGUUGUCAGCACAGCCCCAUUGGAAUGCUCUCAGGUUUUGGUCCUAAACGGAGCAGAGCUGAUACUCUGAGGAAAUUACUAAAAAAAGGAAAGCAGACAUGAUGUUGCAGCAAUACUUGGAGAUUUCGUUAUCUGUGCAAUUAAGUGGUAUGAAUAUUUACCACAGAGGAAAAAAAAAAAUUGCAUGUUGUGUAGCUCCACAUCCAUUGGCACAUACCUGAAUUUAGCAUGUACUUUCCUAAAAGACUUUCAUGGAUAUGUAGUGCAGAGCUCUCCACACCUUCAAACCAGAUUUCUCAUCUGUAUGUAUUAUAUAAAUACCACAUAGAAAUUUGGACACAAUUGUCUCGUAGUCAUUUGAUCCAACCAUUCAUAUUACCUGGAACAGUACAAACAAAUGAAGACAAAAAAUAAGUUGUGGUCACACUACAGUUUGAAUGCACUCCACUGUUCUGAAUUCAGAGCAACAACAUUACAUAGCUUACCUUACAUUCUGAUGAAUACCUUAUAUUUUGAUGAUCUGUUUAUGCUAAUAUUCAUGGUAUUUUGUUUUCAUAAUAUUUGUAGUCAGUUGCUUGGCUAUAUGAUCUUGGGGAUUGUCUAUACAGUUGACUAGGAGAUACAAUUCCUGGUUUAUUCUGAGAAUUCUGAGCCACUCUUCAGUGUCACUCCAUCUCUGGGCACAUUUUUUCCAGAGAUUCCAAUGAAAGUGUAGAGUAGUAGCAACUGCUAAGAAGCAUAAUCUAUCUUUUUGUUAGAGGAGUUUCCAAAGGAUCCAGACCAUUCUAUGAAAAAUGUAAACAUUUCAAAUUUUCUUUUUGGUCUCACUUUGGCAAAAUAACACUUUGGGGUGGCCCACAAAAAUAUCAGAAAGGCCUUAUAAAACUGGUGUGCCAGUAUGUGUCAUUUUAAUUCCUUCUAUUUACAGAAAUCCAUCAGGUGCUUUGCAUGUAUAUUUAUGGCUUUUUAGAGAAAGAAUCAAAUGGUUAUUUACAUUCAUGUGAAAUGUUUUCAUUCCCCUGAAUCACCACGUUCUAACAGAAUAGUUUUCUAAAAGAAAAUUCUCAACACUCUUUGUUCCCAAACACUCCUUAUCAAUGUUUAUUGAACAUUCUUGUCCUAUACACCUUUGGAAAUCCUAUUAUUUUUCUUGGUCUGGUGCUUGGUUAUGAUUUAGGAUGUUUUUCUAGCUUACACCGCUUACCAAUUCAAACUGUGAAACACUGUGAAAAAUAUGUUGUUUGAACCAGUCUGAAUCUCUGGAUUUCUAAUCCUGUUGGUUGAGUGUACUGAACUUUCUUUCCCUAAGCCUCUCUCACAUUUCAUUUGGAAGGAAGGCAAUAGUUCUCCUUUUUAAGCAAUUAGAAAUUUAUCACAAAUUGUGAUACUUACUGUCAGUUAGUCAUCUGUUGAUGUUGUGCAAGCAUGAAAAGGGCCAGUUCUAGCAAUAUUCACCAGAAAGUUAUGCUGAGCAAUUAACAAGAUACAAGGAAAACUGCUAUGUUGUUCUGUGUUCUUUGUCCAAUCUUUGCUGUCAAGUAUUUUCCAAUACGAAGUCUCUGUUACUAGGUUGAAAAACAGACUUUGCUGUUUUUUUUUUUUUUUU